rnacentral:rRNA from 1 species
GUGGGGAAUCUUCCGCAAUGGACGAAAGUCUGACGGAGCGACGCCGCGUGAGUGAAGAAGGCCUUCGGGUCGUAAAGCUCUGUCAUCAGGGACGAACGGCCGGUGGAGUGGAAAGCCACCGGAUUGACGGUACCUGAGAAGGAAGCCACGGCUAACUACGUGCCAGCAGCCGCGGUAAUACGUAGGUGGCAAGCGUUGUCCGGAAUUAUUGGGCGUAAAGCGCGCGCAGGUGGGAUCUUAAGUCCAUUUUUAAAGUUCGGAGCUCAACUCCGUGAUGGGAUGGAAACUGGGAUUCUUGAGUACCGGAGAGGAAAGCGGAAUUCCCCGUGUAGCGGUGAAAUGCGUAGAUAUACGGAGGAACACCAGUGGCGAAGGCGGCCUGCUGGACAUUAACUGACGCUGAGGCGCGAAAGCGUGGGGAGCAAACAGGAUUAGAUACCCUAGUAGUCC